rnacentral:lncRNA from 1 species
GGGACCCAGAUACAUUAUUCUAUAAGCUCAUUUCUUAUCUCAAAACUCUGCUAAAUUCUCCGUUCGAGCACUCCAUUCUUGUUGAGGCAGAGAACUGACUUGAGCGUCGGAGGGUCUUGCCGGAGCAACCCCACCUCCAGUUUAGACUUCCUUUGCAGGUCCCGGCGGCGACCACGGCUUCCCCAACUCCAGCUUCUCCGGCGC